rnacentral:rRNA from 1 species
AUGGAGCGCGCACGCCGCCUCGCCAGCCGCGCGCUGCUGCGCCGCCUCCUCGCGGCCUCCUCCUCCGCCACGUCCCCGGCGCCGUCCCGCGGCGUCUCCACCCUGGCGCCCAAGCCGGCGGCCGGGUCGCGCCCCCGCGCGCGCCCGGCCCACCAGUACACGCCCGGCCGCCCCGUCUCCGUGUCGGCGCUGCAGCCCAGCGACACCUUCCCGCGGAGGCACAACUCCGCCACCCCCGCCGAGCAGGCCGUCAUGGCGUCCGAGUGCGGCUUCAACACCCUCGACGCGCUCAUCGACGCAACCGUCCCGGCCGCAAUCCGCGCGCCGCCGAUGCAGUUCACCGGCAAGUUCGACGCCGGCUUCACCGAGUCGCAGAUGCUCGAACACAUGGCGCACCUCGCCUCCAUGAACAAGACCUACAAGUCCUUCAUCGGGAUGGGCUACUACAACACCCACAUCCCGGCCGUCAUACUGCGCAACCUCAUGGAGAACCCCGCGUGGUACACGCAGUACACGCCCUACCAGGCGGAGAUCGCGCAGGGACGCCUCGAGUCGCUGCUCAACUACCAGACCAUGGUCGCCGACCUCACCGGCCUGCCCAUGUCCAACGCCUCGCUGCUCGACGAGGCCACCGCCGCCGCCGAGGCCAUGGCCAUGUGCCUCGGCAUCGUCAAGUCCAAGAAGAAGACCUUCCUCAUCGCCUCCAACUGCCACCCGCAGACCAUUGACAUCUGCCAGACGCGUGCCACCGGCUUCGACAUCAACGUCGUCGUCUCGGCCGCCAAGGACUUCGACUACAGCAGCGGCGACGUCUGCGGCGUGCUCGUGCAGUACCCCGGCACCGAGGGGGAGGUGCUGGACUACGCCGAGUUCGUCAAGGACGCGCACGCGCACGGCGUCAAGGUGGUGAUGGCCACUGACCUGCUCGCGCUCACCACGCUGCGCCCGCCGGGCGAGAUUGGCGCCGACAUCGCCGUGGGCUCCGCGCAACGGUUCGGCGUGCCCAUGGGGUACGGCGGCCCGCACGCUGCGUUCCUCGCCACCUCCCAGGAGUACAAGCGGCUGAUGCCCGGCCGCAUCAUCGGAGUGAGCGUCGACUCCAGCGGCAAGCCCGCGCUCCGCAUGGCGAUGCAGACCAGGGAGCAGCACAUCCGGCGAGACAAGGCCACCAGCAACAUCUGCACCGCGCAGGCGUUGCUCGCCAACAUGGCAGCGAUGUAUGCUGUCUACCAUGGGCCUGCUGGCCUGAAGGCGAUCGCCGACCGUGUCCAUGGCCUGGCUGGUACUUUCGCCCAUGGUUUGAAGAAGCUCGGGACAGUGACGGUGCAAGAGCUGCCCUACUUCGACACGGUCAAGAUCACUUGCGCUGAUGCUAAUGCGAUUGCCGAGGAGGCCCGCAAAAACGAGAUGAACCUUCGCGUUGUCGACGCGAACACGAUCACCGUUGCCUUCGAUGAGACCACCACCUUGGAGGAUGUUGACAAGCUGUUCAAGGUUUUCUCUGGUGGCAAGCCAGUGGACUUCACAGCUGAAUCCAUCGCACCUGAGGUCUCAAGCUCAAUUCCUCCUAGCCUUGUGCGCGACAGCCCCUACUUGACUCACCCAAUCUUUAGCAUGUACCACACUGAGCACGAGCUCCUCCGUUACCUGCAUAAGUUGCAAUCCAAGGAUCUCUCACUGUGCCACAGUAUGAUCCCUCUUGGUUCUUGCACCAUGAAACUAAAUGCUACCGUCGAGAUGAUGCCUGUCACCGAUCCCAAGUUCGCCAACAUGCACCCAUUUGCCCCUAUUGAUCAAGCUGCUGGCUAUCAUGAAAUGUUUGACAACCUGGGCGAUCUGUUGAACACCAUCACUGGUUUUGAUUCGUUCUCUUUGCAACCGAAUGCUGGUGCUUCAGGAGAGUAUGCUGGACUGAUGGUUAUUCGGGCCUACCACAAGGCAAGAGGAGACCACCACCGAAAUGUCUGCAUCAUUCCUGUCUCUGCGCACGGUACAAACCCUGCAAGUGCUGCUAUGUGUGGAAUGAAGAUUGUUGCCGUUGGAACUGAUGCCAAAGGUAACAUUAACAUUGAGGAGUUGAGGAAAGCUGCUGAAGCAAACAAGGACAACCUGUCUGCUCUGAUGGUUACCUAUCCUUCAACCCAUGGAGUCUAUGAAGAAGGCAUUGAUGAGAUAUGCAGGAUUAUUCAUGAGAACGGCGGUCAGGUCUAUAUGGAUGGAGCUAACAUGAACGCUCAGGUUGGGUUGACAAGCCCUGGUUUUAUUGGAGCAGAUGUUUGCCAUCUUAACCUUCACAAGACAUUUUGCAUUCCACAUGGUGGAGGUGGUCCUGGCAUGGGUCCUAUUGGUGUUAAGAAGCACUUGGCGCCAUUUUUGCCAUCUCAUCCAGUGAUCCCCACUGGUGGCUUCCCUCUCCCUGAGAAAACCGACCCUCUUGGUUCCAUUUCUGCUGCUCCAUGGGGAUCUGCUUUGAUUCUUCCAAUUUCGUACACCUACAUAGCCAUGAUGGGCUCUCAGGGACUCACUGAAGCUUCAAAGAUUGCUAUCCUGAACGCGAACUACAUGGCAAAGCGUCUGGAGAAACACUACCCAGUUCUUUUCCGUGGAGUCAAUGGAACUGUUGCCCAUGAAUUCAUCAUUGAUUUAAGAGGGUUCAAGGCAACUGCUGGUAUUGAGCCUGAGGAUGUGGCGAAGCGCUUGAUGGACUACGGAUUCCAUGGGCCAACCAUGUCAUGGCCCGUUCCAGGCACACUUAUGAUUGAACCCACUGAAAGUGAAAGCAAGGCUGAACUAGACAGGUUCUGUGAUGCCCUUAUCUCCAUCAGAGAGGAAAUUGCAGAGGUAGAAAAUGGCAAAGCAGAUGCACACAACAAUGUCCUGAAGGGCGCUCCUCACCCACCCCAACUCCUGAUGGGUGACGCAUGGACUAAGCCAUACUCUAGGGAGUAUGCUGCGUUCCCCGCCGCGUGGCUUCGUGGUGCCAAGUUCUGGCCAACAACAUGUCGUGUGGACAACGUGUACGGGGAUCGCAACCUGAUCUGCACUCUGCAGCAGGCAUCCCAGGUGGCAGAGGAAGCUGCAGCUGCCACCGCGUAA